UAGCCUCGGGGUGAUUACAGUUGACGCAGUACCCUCAAUUUGAGCUGGACUCCGGGCUGGCAUCGUUUUCAGCGUAUAAAAACCUGGAUGUCUCACUGGAUUUCCACAGAAUGAACCCUUAAACUGCUACAUAAAGAGAAAUACCACUGAAGAAAGACGAGCAUAGCUGGCACCAAAACUUCCUAGGAGUUGGUGGAAACGACUCCAGGGCAAAAGGUUUUUUUCCCUGUGUGGCAUACCCAUUGCACUGUGACUGCUGGUGGGUUUGGAGUUAAGGCUGAGUAAGAUGCCCCCCGGCAUGGAUUUUGGACGACACUGUCUACUAAAAAAGGGAAAGGCUUGAUCAAGGAGUGAAAUGAUAAUCCGAGGUAGGCGUGGGACUGGACAUUCAGAGGUAAUUCCAAAGGACCCUGCCCUCCGGAUCUGAGGAGGCAGACGAGUAAGUGAAGCUUGUGUCUCCAUGAGAUUUGCUCCAAAAUUCAACUUUGGGAUUCCCUUCUUCUACAUCCUUUUCCCACGGAUAUUCAUGCAAGUGUUGUAGCUCACAGAGACUGAACGAUGGGAAAGAUGUCUUGAGGGAGAUUGUGUGCAUCAUCAGUAGAAAAAACAACAUUCUUAUGUGCAGGCUUUAUUUAAACGACCACGCUUCCUUUAUAUAAAAGCCUCUGCCUUAAUGUUCAUCUGACUUUUCUUAUGCAGCUUAAAAUGCAAACUGGGAAUGGCAACUUUGUGUUGUUCACUUGCAGCUCGCUGUAAUAUAGCCUUGAACAUUGUGAUGCAAUGUCUGCAUGACAAGAAGUCAUUGUGAAUUUUAAAUGUAAUAAAAUAUUUAUUUUUCUAAUUUAAACAUGUAUGUGAACUUAACUUAAUUUUUUAAAUAAAUAAUUUAUGAAUAAGAAAAAAAAAAUACCACUUGCUAGUUUUCACUCUCAGUAAACCACUGAUCAGUCAGAGAGUAACCCGUUUAAGUAAGUUGUGUAUAAAUCCGCUCAUUAAUUAGUUCCAUCUCCUCUUUCUCUUUUGGUGCUGAAUGAUGGAAAAAGGCCCACAAACAUAUUGGGUUGUCCUGCCACAAAACCAAUUAACUUAAUAAAAUGUCAAAGUGA